rnacentral:lncRNA from 1 species
CAGAGACAAGUCCAGUCCAUUUCUCAGUUUAAUCCAGACUCUAUGUCUUUCAAUGUCAACACAAACAAACAUUCAGUUGGAAUCAAUCAGCUCACAGUGCCUAAUCCUUCUCCUUUCAGACAAAGAGUUAAUUUUGACCCAGCCACAGGUUAUGUAUUCUAUAGAUACUGCAAAAAGUCUGGGCACUUAAUUGAUAAGUGUUACAAGAUUCAUGGGUAUCCACAAAAUAUCAAAUUUAACAAGUGAAGGAGACCUGCUGCUGCUCAUAUCACUACUGGUGUGGAUUUCCCUUCUUCCGAAGGAAAUAUGUCUGCUCCUCAUGGAAAUCC